rnacentral:lncRNA from 1 species
GCAUUCGCAGCGGGACCUUGGGGGGCGCCGUGGGAGUGCCCUGGCGCCGCGCCGCGCCGGGGCCAUCCGGACCCCUAGGCCUAUUCCCGCCGCCUGCUCGGGUGGUGGUGGGGGGAGGGAAAAGACAAACUGUUCUUUGUUUGCCUUUGGAAAGCCGGCCUGCCUUUGUUCCGGGCGGGUUCGUUGGUUUCCAGGCGUUGAAGGCUGGGAGAGGAGGGGGUAGGGAUCCCGGCCCAGCGGUCCCAGACGUUUUCGGAACUACAGACCCUGGGCUCAGCGCGGGGUCGCCGAGGGGACGCGGGCCACCAGCCCUAUCCUCCGGAGCUCAGGCGCAGUCCAGGCUUCCCAGGCCCCGGGGCUGCCCUCCCGGAGCCUGACCUCCCCUGGGGGUGGGGGUGCUGCCCUGGGGCCCCCUUCCUGGGUUUCCUGGUCCUUCUGUCCACGUAUCUCACUCCCCCAUUGAACCGGCAAAGAGCACAAAGCAGAAAAGACAUCCUUGCCGCCCCAGGCUCCCCCAUCUAGCAGAAAACUCUGAAACAGUCCUCACCCCUCCCAAAGUUGAGAGAAACGUGGAUGUUCCAUAAACAAAACCCGCCCUCCAGCAGCAUGUUUAAGUGGAGGCGACCUCGCGUGGGUGUGCGUGUGUGUAUGUGUGCGUGUCUGCGUGCGCCGGGGACGCGCGAUCAUCUCUCAGGCUGUUUGUGGAUAAUUUUUUUCUCUAGAUUUUGUUUGUUUUUAAUAAGGAUCAGAGGUCUGGGCUGUGGGGAAGGGGCAAGGGUCAUCUCGGAUGGCCAGGCCGGGAGGUACCAGGGGGACAGGUCUCCGGGCCUGGCCUGCCGAGCGAGGCGGGAUCCGGAGCCGCCCCAUCUGGCCCUACUCCCGGCAGUGGCUGGUGGGAGUCAGUGGGGACCGGCUCCGUGGGCUGCUCCUGGGGUAUGGCCCCAGAGAGGAGCCAAGCCAAAGAAUACGAUUUCUCUCCCCUGCACAGGGCAGCUGUCAUUUCCCCGGCCCCUGUCCUGGCCAUAAGGGCCAAGAGAGAAGGCAAGCAGAGUGGCUCGGGUCUCUGGGGCUUUCUACAUCCCUCCUUCUUUCUAGAUGUGAGAAAGGAACCCCGCCCUGUAGGGGAAGCUUGUCUGGUGUCCAGAAGACUUAGGGUCCAUGGGCCGGGUGUGGUGGCUCAAGCCUGUAAUCCCAGCACUUUGGGAGGCCGAGGAGGGCAGAUCACGAG